ACGACCUUACUUGAACAGGAUCUGUUCUAUAGGCUCGUACAUCUGUAUCCUUGAUUACUAAGGAGACAGGAAUCUAUGUCUGGUUGAUGAGAUCUUACCGCUAGACCAGAGCGUGAUUAACUGUGCUGUGGCUGCCGGCUUUGGCUUGUGGUCAGAUUGCUGUAGAGGAUCGUUCUCAGUCAAUGGCUUUGGCCCCUGGCUGGGUUGGUCUUGCGGUUGUCUGACAGACU